AUUAGAUACCGUAUAGUAUUCUUAUUAUUCACUCCUUAAUUUGUCUGUCUUUAAUAAGUUCCUUUCUUUUCUAGGUUUUGUUAAUUUUGUCGAUAAUUAAUUACUAGGUUGGUGAUUUUGAGUAUGUGAAUGCUGGUAGUCUGGUAGUACAUUCUGUUUUUCGGAGAGAGCUAUGGCUAUAAUAUCAAUUCCUUAAAAAAAAGAUUGUUCGAUGUGAGAUUUUGGAUCCUUUAACUCUAUCCUCAUGGUACUCCCCUUUCUUUCGGUUACCAGUCUUCCGUUGGUUUCCUUUCUAACCAUUUUUGAAGAUAAAGGUGAAAAUGAGCAUGAGAUGAAGAUUUAAGCAGCCAUGAAAUUCAAGGUCUACAUCAUUUGGAGAGAUAUUUUUUAAUUGGGUUCAUAUAGGAUUAAACAAGAUUUGUCCAUGUACGUACACAAUUUGUAGAAGUAAGUUUUUACAUUUGUGAUAAAUCAUAAUAUAACAAUUUGUAUUUGUUUGUAGAAGAAUUUAGAUGUAAUGUGUUCAUUAUGGUUUUUGUAGGUAA